AUGUCGAAAGGAUACAUUAACGGAGCACAUCCACUUGCUUUCCUCUGGGCACCUUUCCUCAUCAUGCAUCUUGGAGGGCAGGACACCAUAACUGCAUUUUCCAUCGAGGACAACAACCUGUGGUUAAGGCAUUUGUUGACUCUGGUGGUUCAGGUUAGUGUGGCCUUGUAUGUCUUCUGGGAGUCCACUAUGGGUCGCCACCACCCUAGUAUGCUUCUACCAGCUGGUAUAUUUAUGUUUAUUGCUGGAAUUAUCAAGUACGGGGAGAGGACAUUGGCUCUCAUGUACGGUGACCUAAAGAGCACUAGCCACAAUACCAUUGGAAAUGGACUUCCAGAUCAUGGUGGAUAUCUUGGCAUUUUUGCUUAUGUUUGGGAGUCCGCACCAGGCAUCCGAAAGCUCUUUGCUGGACACACCUUACACCAGAUGGAAGAUCACCACCGAGAGGUAGUGACAUCCCAUAUUCAUAUGGACCAUUUGCCCAAGUUGCUGGAGAUUGAGCUUGACUUGAUGUAUGAUGAUAUCUACACCAAGGCUAUGCUGCUUCGGACAAAGAAUGGCAUUAAACUCCGGAGUACUGAACAUAUUUAUUCUGUUGAUGUCACCAUGGACAUUGGCAUGGUUGGAGGCUCGAAACUUUAUAUAUAG
rnacentral:rRNA from 1 species